GACGAACGCUGGCGGCGUGCUUAACACAUGCAAGUCGAACGGAAAGGCCCUGCUUGCAGGGUACUCGAGUGGCGAACGGGUGAGUAACACGUGGGUGAUCUGCCCUGCACUUCGGGAUAAGCCUGGGAAACUGGGUCUAAUACCGGAUAGGAGCCAUUUUUAGUGUGAUGGUUGGAAAGUUUUUUCGGUGUAGGAUGAGCUCGCGGCCUAUCAGCUUGUUGGUGGGGUAAUGGCCUACCAAGGCGGCGGCGGGUAGCCGGCCUGAGAGGGUGGACGGCCACAGUGGGACUGAGAUACGGCCAAGACUCCGACGGGAGGCAGCAGUGGGGAAUAUUGCACAAUGGGCGCAAGCCUGAUGCAGCGACGCCGCGUGGGGGAUGACGGCCUUCGGGUUGUAAACGCCUUUCGCUAGGGACGAAGCUUUUUGUGACGGUACCUAGAUAAGAAGCACCGGCUAACUACGUG
rnacentral:rRNA from 1 species